rnacentral:rRNA from 1 species
GAAACGUCUUGCGCGGCGUGCCUAAUACAUGCAAGUCGAGCGGAACUUUGGGAAGCUUGCUCCCAUUGUUUAGCGGCGGACGGGUGAGUAACACGUGGGCAACCUGCCCUGCAGAUCGGGAUAACUCCGGGAAACCGGUGCUAAUACCGAAUAGUUUGCGGCCUCUCCUGAGGCUGUACGGAAAGACGGUUUCGGCUGUCACUGCAGGAUGGGCCCGCGGCGCAUUAGCUAGUUGGUGGGGUAAUGGCCUACCAAGGCGACGAUGCGUAGCCGACCUGAGAGGGUGAUCGGCCACACUGGGACUGAGACACGGCCCAGACUCCUACGGGAGGCAGCAGUAGGGAAUCUUCCGCAAUGGACGAAAGUCUGACGGAGCAACGCCGCGUGAGUGACGAAGGUUUUCGGAUCGUAAAACUCUGUUGUGAGGGAAGAACAAGUACCAAGUAACUACUGGUACCUUGACGGUACCUCACCAGAAAGCCACGGCUAACUACGUGCCAGCAGCCGCGGUAAUACGUAGGUGGCAAGCGUUGUCCGGAAUUAUUGGGCGUAAAGCGCGCGCAGGCGGUUCCUUAAGUCCGAUGUGAAAGCCCACGGCUCAACCGUGGAGGGUCAUUGGAAACUGGGGAACUUGAGUGCAGAAGAGGAAAGUGGAAUUCCAUGUGUAGCGGUGAAAUGCGUAGAGAUGUGGAGGAACACCAGUGGCGAAGGCGACUUUUCUGGUCUGUAACUGACGCUGAGGCGCGAAAGCGUGGGGAGCNAACAGGAAUAGAUACCCUGGUAGUUCACGCCGUAACGAUGAGUCUAAGUGUAGGGGGGGU